CUGGGCCCGGGCAUGGGUGAAGUCCCCAUUCAGAAAUGGCUUGAUUUGGAAAUCCUCGAGGUGACUUCAGAGACUUCUGGUUCUGUUCCCACUUCCAGGCCCCUACUACACCCCAGAGUCAACACCCACAGGACGAUCCUAUGAGAGGAAGCGCUGUGCCCAGAAGGCGGGCCACCACCUGGACCUGGACCUGGACCCACUCCUCCUUUCUCCCGAGCACCUGCCUGCCACACCUGCCUGUCCUUCACCCGGAGCAGAGCUUGACUGAACUCGGGACCCGUGUUGUGAUGUAACCAGGAUGGGUGGAGGGACCUUCAAGGGGUCAUCUACCAUCCUGAUGCUGGAGGGGGUGUUCAUGGUUGACUUCAGGGUUUCAAGCUCCCCGCAGGUGGGGACCUCGGCCAGCACAGGAGCCCAAACAGGCUGAUUUUCUUUUUUUCUAAAGAUUCAUUUAUUUAUUUUGAGAGAGAGAGAGAGAAAAGAGAGAGACUCUCCAGCAGACUCCCUACUGAGCACAGAGCCCAAGACAGGGCUUGAUCUCAUGACCUCAGAUCACAACCUGAGCCAAAAUCAAGAGUCGGAGCCACCCCGGCUCCCCAAAAAGGGUGGUUUUCUAGAACCUCUAGGGUUGCCUGGAGUCUUCCCCGUUGGCCAGGAGAGGAAGGGGCCUGAGUGGAUUUGGGUGCCGUGGGCCUGUCAGCCUGUCCAGCACCACCCCCGCACCAUGCAGACAGCAACCUCCCCGGCAGGAGGCAGUGCGGCUGGUAGCAGGUGGCAGCUGCGGGACGGGUCAGCCUGGGGCGUCCACAUUUCCACUGACCAGCCUCUCUGGUCUCCAGCCACAUCUUGUGGUCAUGCUCUUGCCAUUUCUCCCCCUCACCCCCACCGGGGAAGUCUCAGGGAUGCUGACGCCACAGACCAUCUCUGCUGGCUCCUGACUGGGCUUCUGGAAUGCCCCCUGCACUGGUUCUCCUUCCCUUCUCGUCCGCCUUCAUAUCUUCCUGCACGAGGCAAGACCACUGGGAAGCUUGAAACACGGGAGCCUGGAUAUGCCACUUUCCUGCCCAACACCUCCCCAGGGCUCCCCACCCCUCAUAGGACGAAGUCGUCUUCACGGAGCAUGGCCCUUCCUCCUGUGAGCCCGGCUGCCCUCCUCUCCUCCUCUGCCCGCAUUCCAGCCAUUCUGCAUCCUCGGAGUUCUCCCAUACACCGGGGUAGACGCCCCUGAGGUAGCGCACCUGCUCUGGGAGGCCCUCUCUGGCUUCAUCUGCCAAGCUCCUAUUUAUUCCUCAAAACCCCACUCGAGUGCCACUUCCCCUGAGAAGCCUUCCAGGACCUCAGGUCUGCACGUGGAAUGACUCGGUCUGUGGUUUGCUGUUUCACAGCGUGAAGCACAUCUGGCUUUCAAGGGGGCAGCUCUUUCGGUUGCCAUGGCCCGAGGGGGAUUUGGAGCCUGAGAGGGGACCCCGGGUGUUCAGGGGGAGAGACACCGGAACACAGCCCUGCACUAGGUGGGUGUAUGGGGGGGGCACUUAGCAGCCUUUGUUGGGGGCACCUGGCUGAGACUGUGGCACACGCCUUGUCCACACACCUCAGGUGACGAUCUCAGAAGGAGCCUUCUCAAGUCGGAAGUGGAGACCCACCGCAAGGGAGCUUUUGGGGGUGAAGCCCGUGGGCUGUGUCUUGCUGGGAUUUGGCUUCUACGGGCUGUAGUCAUUUGUCCAAACCCAGCAAAUAUACACCUAAGAUUUC